UAGCCAUAUCAAAUUGAAACACCAGUUCUCGUGCGAGCACUGAAGUUAAGCAACAUCGAGUCUGGUCAGUACCAAGAUGGGUGACCACUUGGGAAUACCAGAUCCUGUA